rnacentral:misc_RNA from 1 species
AUCCACGAUUACGACGUCAAGAUGCGUUCGGUCAUGAAAUUCCUGGGCGAAGGCGACAAGGUGAAGGUCACGUUGCGGUUCCGCGGACGGGAAAUGGCCCAUCAGGAUCUGGGACUUGACCUGCUGAACCGCGUGCGCGACGACGUGGGCGAGGCCGGCAAGAUCGAGUCCAUGCCCAAGCUGGAAGGCCGCCAGAUGGUCAUGAUGAUCGCGCCCAGAUAAGCGGCGCGGCAGGACACGAUCGCGGCCGCGCGGCAACCGCCGCGCGGCGUUUCGCAUUACAGGCGGCCUGCCAUCAGUCGUUGCCGAAUCACGGCCUGA